UAAAAUUUUUCCAGGAUUUCACAAGAUAUAACUGUAAUAUUUCACAGUUAAUUACAUUAUUACCACUUCACAGGCUUUAACUGUGAUAAUUCACAAUAUAAUACCGUAUUUAGACUUUUACUGUGAAAAUAAUGCAGGCGCGGGGCUUUUACAAGAAACUACUGUGAAUGCCGUCUUUUUUGAGUGGCAACUGCGGCAGCGUCAUCAGAGCGUCAUCAGAGCUCUCUGAUCUACGUGGUCUCAUUCGGUGGAUUCAGACAGCGCAUUUUCUACAUUGACCGACGAUAAAUAAAGUUAUAAGGUGCUUCUUGGGCAUCAACCCAGAGACGGGCACAAAAUCUAAGAGGCAGAGAGGUCACAUGAACCAGCAAGUCUGCACUCUUAUCAGGAAGCUCAUUGAGUUCGAAUGGAUGUCAAUCUAAUUGGAUAGAACCCACACUAUGCAGGUGCCAGCUGCGAGGGAAGGAGCGAGAUACCUGCGACCCUCUCUAUUCCCACCUUUUUGUCUUUUCUUACAUCUCUCUCCCUCACUCUCUCUUCUCUGUCUCCUUCUUUCUCUUUUGACACACAUUCCUGUUACCCAGUGUCAAUCCCUGUUGCCCAGUGUUUUAUUCAUGUAAUUAAAUUGUAUUUUACUUCUAAAAAAUAAAAGUUAUGUCACUGUUUU